rnacentral:rRNA from 1 species
UGAAUUGACGGGACCCCGCACAAGCGGUGGAUCAUGUUGUUUAAUUCGAUGAUACGCGAAGAACCUUACCAGGUCUUGACAUCCCCCGCGAUGCUUUAGAGAUAAAGCGGAGGUAUUCGGGGAGACAGGUGGUGCAUGGUUGUCGUCAGCUCGUGUCGUGAGAUGUUGGGUUAAGUCCCGCAACGAGCGCAACCCCUAUUGCUAGUUACCAUCAUUAAGUUGGGGACUCUAGCGAGACUGCCAGUGAUAAACUGGAGGAAGGUGGGGAUGACGUCAAAUCAUCAUGCCCCUUAUGACCUGGGCUACAAACGUGAUACAAUGGCUGGAACAAAGGGAUGCGAAGCAGUGAUGUGGAGCGAAACCCAUAAAAACAGUCUCAGUUCGGAUUGAAGUCUGCAACUCGACUUCAUGAAGUCGGAAUCGCUAGUAAUCGCGCAUCAGCAUGGCGCGGUGAAUACGUUCCCGGGCCUU